AAUUACCAGGAAUGACAACAACAGCUUUAAGGCUGACAGCACAAAAUCUGUUCGUUUUCUUGUUUUUCCGAACAUCAAUUGUAUUUAGUUACGCUUGAAUACCUCUUGAAUGUUGGGCGGAUAUUAAUAAUGUAGUUUAUAAAGAGAUUUUAGCAGGCCAGUUCAGGGUAGAAUAACAAUGAGGCAAUAUUCGCUCACAUAACUUCAAAUUGAAUAAUGGCGGUAAUUAUCUGGUUUGUUUCACUACGUAAAUAACACUUUCUCUCUGCAUAUUUUUUAAAUAUGUAAAAGUAUUUAUUUCAAAGACCCGUUGGGAUAAAGUGUGCCCUUCGUGUACAACAGGGGCGGCUAGCGGGCUAACGUUAGCAUCGGCUAUUUAAUGGCCAACAAGUGUACGAGAUUCAAGCUAACUUUAGCAUUUAGCUGGACGUUAGCAUGCCCGUUAGCUCGAAGCUAAGCUAACACGUGAGCCUCGAUAACUAAACUUAGCCGACGAGUAACGUUAGCAUCUCAACUCAUUGGCCACAGACAACAAGUUAGCAAGCGGCUAACGGUAACUCCUCUAUGACAACUCAUUCAAAUAUGAUAAUGUAAUGGUGACUAGACGGAAAUAAAUGUCGUUUAGUUGGGAGAAUGGGUUGAGUUGGAAGGCCGGCCGAGCAUCCAGCACAAAGCCGCUUUUCUCGUCACAUUCUUACCGGAGAGCUUCCACGGCAGUUGGAACGUGAACAGAACUCCUCGACUGCCCGUGUUCGAUCCUUCCUCGGUGCUUUAAAAGAGUGCUCCUUUCGGAACAUUUGUCUGGAACUGUUGCUUCUUUCUCCAUGGAGCCUGGUAAAAAAAAAAAAAGAAAGGGUUCCCUUGUGUGGCAACACUUUGAGCAGAUCUCUCCAGAUAAGUUACGACACAUGAAACGUCUGUAAGUAAUGAAAUGUGUUACAAAAUGAAUUCAAACAUUUCUUGCAUUCUAAGGUCAAGUGCUUGUUGUGCGCCAAGCAACUGGGCUACAACAACACCUCAUCAAUGCUGAGGCAUUUCCGUGCUCGUCAUGAACAGACUGCGGAGGAAAGCGAUGAGGCCAGUCAAGGAAAGUUUUAGGGGAGAGAGAAAAAGAGGAAGCUUGGCGCUCAGCCACAAGAAGCCGUUUCCUCUCCCGAGUCCCCCUAACGAAAGCAACGAGGAGAAACAAGAAACGCAAUCCACCCAACAAAUGCAGCAGCAGAAGAUUCCAAGCGAGAAGAAAAACAACAGAGUUGAAGAGGCGACCAUUUUCAGGAAGUCGCCCUCUCCCGCUGCUGCAGAUGAGUUGAGGUCAUCUCCUCUCAGCUGCCACUCUGUACUUUUUUCUAUUAAAUAUUAUUGUUAUUGUUAUAUUCAAUAAAUGUGUGUAUUAUUUUGUAUUCUUGA